UCUCCUUUUAUCUUCGUUCUUUUUUCCCUCUGGGUUUCUUUUGGCUUCUCCUGAAAUUAAAUGGUUUUGUCACAUCUUCUUCUCUUUUCUCUUCAUCUUUUUUUCCCUUUGUUUUCUUUUCGCUAAUUCUGAAGCUCAAUGGCUAUUGUAGGUUCUCUUCCCCUUUUUCUUCUCUGAUUUUUUAAAGAUCCCCUUUUCCUUCUUUUCUUUUGUUGGGUUCUCUUCGUGAAUUUUAAUUUUGCAAUUCACUGGUUUGUUAAAUCGAGUGGUAAUACUGUAUUUUUUUAAGCUUAGCCUUGCUGAGUUUUGGAAUUUCGUGCUUUCCUGGGUGCCUCAUGUGCUUGUUGAUUUUGCAAUUUCAAGGUUGUUAUGUACUGCGAUACUUAAUAAGUCUUAAUUUUAUCACCUAGAUAGUAAGAUAAGCUAAACUGGAGAAGAAUCACUAAUCGACAUAGAGACGAAGAUGAAUAGGGGAAACAAACAUGAAUACACAUCCGUAUAUAUAGUCCAACAGAAUCUACCUUUGGAGAAAGUUUUCACAAACUCAAGGUGGUAUUUUAUAUGAUGACGUCCAGACUCUAGCGGAAAUAUAUUGUCUAUGUGAAAGGAGGAGAUGGAUAUAGUGAGAGUUUCAAUUUUGGAGGUAGGUGGUUAUGCAGGGUGAUUAAAUUGCUAACAACGAAUGAUAUAUAAAGAUCUGAUUUGGUAUUUCAGACA